CACGUAGUUAGCCGUGGCUUUCUGGUUAGGUACCGUCAAGGUGCCGACCUAGUUCGAACGGCACUUGUUCUUCCCUAACAACAGAACUUUACGACCCGAAGGCCUUCAUCGUUCACGCGGCGUUGCUCCGUCAGACUUUCGUCCAUUGCGGAAGAUUCCCUACUGCUGCCUCCCGUAGGAGUCUGGGCCGUGUCUCAGUCCCAGUGUGGCCGAUCACCCUCUCAGGUCGGCUACGCAUCGUCGCCUUGGUGAGCCGUUACCUCACCAACUAGCUAAUGCGCCGCAGGCCCAUCUCAUAGUGUUAGCUUACGCCAACUUUUAAUUUCUCUUUAUGCAAAGAAAAAUGUUAUCCGGUAUUAGCUCCGGUUUCCCGAAGUUGUCCCAGUCUAUGAGGCAGGUUGCCUACGUGUUACUCACCCGUCCGCCGCUAAGAUUUUAAAAGCAAGCUUUUAAAUUCUCGCUCGACUUGCAUGUAUUAGGCACGCCGCCAGCGUUCGUCCUGAGCCAGGAUCAAACUCU
rnacentral:rRNA from 1 species